GCGGAGGAAAAGAAACCAACAGGGAUUGCCUUAGUAACGGCGAGUGAAGCGGCAACAGCUCAAAUUUGAAAUCUGGCCCUCGGGUCCGAAUUGUAAUUUGUAGAGGAUGAUUUUGGUGCGGUAUCUUCCGAGUUCCUUGGAACAGGACGCCUUAGAGGGUGAGAGCCCCGUACGGUUGAAUGCCUAGCCUCUGUAAAUCUCCUUCGACGAGUCGAGUAGUUUGGGAAUGCUGCUCUAAAUGGGAGGUAAAUUUCUUCUAAAGCUAAAUAUUGGCCAGAGACCGAUAGCGCACAAGUAGAGUGAUCGAAAGAUGAAAAGCACUUUGAAAAGAGGGUUAAAUAGCACGUGAAAUUGUUGAAAGGGAAGGAUUUGUGACCAGACUUUUUCUGGGCGGAUCAUCCGGGGUUCUCUCCGGUGCACUUUGCCCAGUAAAGGCCAGCAUCGAUUUUCGGCGGCGGAUAAAAGCAGUGGGAAUGUGGCUCCCUACGGGGAGUGUUAUAGCCCAUUGUAUAAUACGCUGCUGGGGAUCGAGGUACGCGCUUCUGCAAGGAUGCUGGCGUAAUGGUUAUCAAUCACCCGUCUUGAAACACGGACCAAGGAGUCGAACAUUUAUGCGAGUGUUUGGGUGUUAAACCCUCACGCGUAAUGAAAGUGAACGGAGGUGAGAGCCCGUACGGGUGCAUCAUCGACCGAUCCUGAAGUUUUCGGAUGGAUUUGAGUAAGAGCAUAACUGUUCGGACCCGAAAGAUGGUGAACUAUGCGUGGAUAGGGUGAAGCCAGAGGAAACUCUGGUGGAGGCUCGCAGCGGUUCUGACGUGCAAAUCGAUCGUCAAAUCUGCGCAUGGGGGCGAAAGACUAAUCGAACCAUCUAGUAGCU
rnacentral:rRNA from 1 species